GGGAGAGAAGAGAGAGAUAGAGAGUGUAGAGACUAGAGAGGGGGAGAGUGUGUGUGUGCAGAGAGACAGAGAGAGGGGUGGGGCGGAAGAAGAAUUGAAGGUAUUUUGGUCAUUUGGCAUUUAAUUAAUGGCAAUUUAAACUCAAUUUGAAUGGAGGGACAUUUUUGUUGAUGGAAUGGAACCUGGGGGAGUAAAGUGUUUCAAAUUGAAAAUAAGGGGACCAACUGGUGUUUUUUGACAAACCUCAGAGCCAAAUUGUAAAUUACCUAUGUGCACACACACACACUGUUGUUUUUCUUUUUAUUGUUGCUUUAUCA
rnacentral:misc_RNA from 1 species